rnacentral:rRNA from 1 species
UACGGGGGGAGCAAGCGUUGUUCGGAUUUACUGGGCGUAAAGGGCGCGUAGGCGGCCACCGCAAGUCGACUGUGAAAUCUCCGGGCUUAACCCGGAAAGGUCAGCCGAUACUGCGGGGCUAGAGUACAGAAGGGGCAACUGGAAUUCUCGGUGUAGCGGUGAAAUGCGUAGAUAUCGAGAGGAACACCUGCGGCGAAGGCGGGUUGCUGGGCUGACACUGACGCUGAGGCGCGAAAGCUAGGGGAGCGAACGGG